rnacentral:rRNA from 1 species
AGUGAACGCUGGCGGUAGGCCUAACACAUGCAAGUCGAACGGCAGCACAGUAAGAGCUUGCUCUUACGGGUGGCGAGUGGCGGACGGGUGAGGAAUACAUCGGAAUCUACUUUUUCGUGGGGGAUAACGUAGGGAAACUUACGCUAAUACCGCAUACGACCUACGGGUGAAAGCAGGGGAUCCUCGGACCUUGCGCGAUUGAAUGAGCCGAUGUCGGAUUAGCUAGUUGGCGGGGUAAAGGCCCACCAAGGCGACGAUCCGUAGCUGGUCUGAGAGGAUGAUCAGCCACACUGGAACUGAGACACGGUCCAGACUCCUACGGGAGGCAGCAGUGGGGAAUACUGGACAAUGGGCGCAAGCCUGAUCCAGCCAUACCGCGUGGGUGAAGAAGGCCUUCGGGUUGUAAAGCCCUUUUGUUGGGAAAGAAAAGCAGCAGGUUAAUACCCCGCUGUUCUGACGGUACCCAAAGAAUAAGCACCGGCUAACUUCGUG